CCUACUUAUGAACGACAGGGUGGAUCCACAUCACCUCGUCCUUUACCCAUUAUUUUUCUGAUCAGUGGUUUAUGCGUGGGUUGCCCAUUGCAUACUGAAACACAAUAUAAUGACUAUGUAUUUUGUAGAAAUGAUACAACCAACCUAUGUUCUAUGUGCUAGUACUUCAACUGAGUAAGGCUAUAGCUCCUCCAAAAUGACUAAGUCCUUUCUAAAAUAAGAUGAUUUCUCUUUAGAAAAAAAUGUUUCUUCAAGGUGAUUUCUCCUAUUUUUUUCAUGAAGGGAUGGAUAUAAGAGGACAAAUGUUCAUAGUGGCUCUACAUUUGACUUAGUUAUAAAUAUAAUAGAAUGUUUUCAACCAAAUACUGAGUUGCUAAUUGCGGGGCUAGGAUUUUUGGGCUACAACCUCCCUGCCACAGGAUUUGAGAAACUCCCUAAACUCAAUAAAUAUGUAAAAAAAUUCAGAGACUUGAAUUUUGUAGAUUCUGUGUCCACUUUCAACUCCAGAAGAAUGAGCAGGGGAGGAGCUGCCAGAAACCUUGUUUUUUUUUAAUUUGGUCUCUAUAUCUGCCCAGUUCGAAGCCAGUUCCAGCUCUUAGUUGCUCAUGUAUAUGGAGCCAUUUUUCAUCUUCCCAUCAUGUGCACCUUAUUUUCAGUUGCAAUCUAUAGAUACACGUGAUUCAUAGGCCAGUGACACAAUUUACCGUAUUGCCAAACGGCAACCAAUGCAACUUUUGGUGUAAGAGGGAAAGACAGAUUUCCUUUAUGGUAGACGAUGAGUGAAACUGUGUAUGGCAAUGGCUAAGAACCAUGCCUCUCCACUGUGUGCGCCACCAUCUGGCACGUCAAGGCACACUUGCACAGGCUAAUGAUCCAUUACAGGGUGAAUGGGCACACCUCGACCUACAAACACGCACAACCUGAAGUGUUGUAAGCAAAUUGAAACAAAAGGGGACACCCUAAGUGCUCAAUAAUUAUUCCGACAUGCCAUGAACGGCGUGCACUCUGAAAGGUAGAAGAAAAUGAAGCUUCUCACCACUGUGGAUCUACAGUGUGCCCUCUAGCUUAAGCUGCUGCACUUUAUUUUUCAGUCCUGAUGUCUCCUAUUCGUAGUAGGUGUUAUUGUAAGUAGCUAGUAUCGUCCAUAUAUACUCCAAUCUUUCCUUCCCUUUACUCACUAAAUAAAUGUCCAUGGGUUUGCAAUAAUCAUCCAUGCAUAUACGAGAACAUAAGAAAAUGAGCCAUGUAAAAAAAGGUCAAAACCACCAGCGCCACUUACUGACAUCGUACUAACACGGGUCUGUGCUGCUAUGUUACUAACACGUUUUCUGGUACGAGUCUGUGAACAACGAACCUUGUCAGUCAGGGUCAAGGCGCGUCUGCAAUAACUAGUAACUGCAUACGUGCCUAUAACACAUGCGUCUGAAAGUUUAACCACAGACGCGUGUCGAAGGAUGACGUCUUUAGUUUUCGCAUUAUCGCAGACGCGUGAUAUACUACAGGCAUACGUAUUGUAGACAUGUCUGUAGUACUGUGAUUAUCACAGACUCGUGUUGUUAAAACACAUCUGUAGUACGGCAAUUACCUUAGACGCUUGUUUUUAAAACCGGUCACAGACGCAUGUUCUUAACACAUGUCUCUAGUACAGCGAUUAUCACAUACGCUUGUUAUUGAAAGCAGGCAUCAAUAGUUAGCACUCAAGCCUCCACAACAUAUUAACAAGGAUAUUAAUUCUUCAUACAUAAACAGGUAUGUAACUAAACUAAAAUAAUCCUAGAGUAUAGUCAC
rnacentral:lncRNA from 1 species